GAGGGCAUGGCUAAGCAGUACAGAACCUGCUUAGCAAACAGGAGGCCCUGAGUUCAAAUCUCAGUAUUCUCA
rnacentral:tRNA from 1 species